rnacentral:tRNA from 1 species
UGGCUCAGUUGGUAGAGCAUGUUGUUUGCAACACCAGGGUUGUGGGUUCUAUUCCCAC